rnacentral:snRNA from 1 species
GUGCUCAGUUCAACAGCAUAUAUACUAAUAUUGGAAUGAUACAGAGAAGACUGGCAUGGCCCCUGCACAAGGAUGACACACUAAUUUGUAAAACAUUCUAUAUUUUU